rnacentral:tRNA from 1 species
GGCUUCACGCCGGAUGUACGGAUUACGUUGAUGGUGUAAAAUAAGGAAAGCCUUGUUUCCUGAAGUCA